rnacentral:sRNA from 1 species
AAGAGAUUGGCAACCAGUCUCUGCCCUCAUAUACAGCUGACACUUCGUAAUAAACUUUUUCGACUACACACAAUGAACAGGUAUGCGAUAAGCGACGAAAUAAGGCCCAUUUAUCACAUGGGCCAGAUUGGAGUAACAAAAUGCAUGGUAUAGCGGAGGGAUCCAACAAAUUCGCUCCAGCAAUGAGCACCAUAUAGGGCGGUGGUGGCUACGAUGUCUUCACUUCCAUCCUUCAGCUAUCCUCACACCAACCCAUUUGACCACUUCAGCCACCUCCCUCGCAAUCAUGUCCCCUUUGGAGAAUGCCUCAUCCACCCCUUUCUGCGCUUUCUCAUAGGCAUCGACCAUACUAUCCCUGCUCUUUUUACUACCGCUGAUGUAGGCACUAUCGGCAAAUUCUCCCGAUAGGCGCAAUUCUGACAGGAGGGCGAGCAGUGAGGUUAUUUCCAUGACGAGCGAGCGGGAUUCCAGAAGUUUAGCGUACGUGAAAGCUUGGAAAAGAUGGUCAUUGGCCGAGUCUGGGGAACUGUUAACCGCUUUCUGUUGAUUUAUUGUAAAGACACGAACCAUGUUCGGCAGUGGACCCGCUAUCCAGCGAAAGCUCAAUGUAUCCUUUGGCUAUGACAAGUGCCCCCCUCGCCAGGGCCUCGUAGUCCUCUGAUGCAAUGAGCUAAUACUUGUUGGUUUAUUUCCCCGCCAAAAAAAGUAAAAAUAAAAAAAUCCAUU